UACGUAGGAUGCAAGCGUUGUCCGGAUUUACUGGGCGUAAAGCGCGCGCAGGCGGCAAGGUAAGUAAGGUGUGAAAUCUGCCGGCUCAACCGGGAGGGUGCACUUUAGACUGCUUUGCUUGAGGGUCGGUAGAGGGGGGUGGAAUUGCUGGUGUAGCGGUGAAAUGCGUAGAGAUCAGCAGGAACACCCGUGGCGAAGGCGGCAUCCUGGACCGGCAUUGACGCUGAGGCGCGAAAGCCAGGGGAGCAAACGGG
rnacentral:rRNA from 1 species